GGGUUCGUAGCUCAGUUGGUUAGAGCGCUGUAUUCACAUUGCAGAGGUCCCCCGUUCGAGCCGGGGCGGACCCACCA
rnacentral:tRNA from 1 species